AGGAAAUGAUGUAACUUCCUUGGUGGGAAAACAACUGUGGUGAACUUGAUGCCUGCCUUAGAUGCCAUUAAAGGAACGAUGAAGAUUCAUCAGGUUAUCAGUGUCUCACCAGGCCAGAUAAAUAUAGGGACAUUACUUGGCUGUGCAAGAAGAAUAGUGGCAUGUUGGACUGUCCCUUGUUUUCAGCUCAAAGAGUCAACUCUGGGUGACGCUACAGCAUUUAACCAGCUCACUGUAUCUCAUGACAAGGCUGACAGCACAUGGUGACCUGGCACCAUUGAACUUAAUCACGUAGGGGAGUGGUGUGUUGUCAAUUAAGGAUACCCUGGCAUCAUCAUGGAUGUAAAGGAACACAACAUUCUGAGUCCAAAGGAAGAUAUUUGUUGGUACUCUGAUGGACAGAUUAUUUGUCUGAUGCCAGAGCCACAGGCUGUUUAUAAACGCUCUGUGCAGAUGGAAAAAUCCACCUGGAAGUAUGUGGAAGAGCAUUUGGGGUGAAAAGGGGGAGGAUGGAAAGAGGGGGAGCGAGAGAGGGGGAGAGGAAGAGAGGGACAGGAAUGUGUUUUAAUGCUAAUUCCAAUGAUUUUGUACCAGCAAUGUAUUUUUGUGUUGUUGUUUUUCACAAUGAAUAUGUAUAGAAAUAGCAGUUCCAAUGUGGUUACUACUGUACAUGUAUUACUAUGUAGAUCAGUAUUCAGUGUUCAGGGUUUAAUUUAUGUUCUGUCCUGUUAUAGCUGUCCACCCUAUUAUACCUUGGUCUACCCUGUUAUCCUGGCAUCUUAUUCAUAUUAAUUCAGUUACAUUGUCAAAUACCAAUAAUUUGUGUAUUGUAUUUCAAAGAGUAAGACACAGCCAACACCACACAAUUAUAAACUUGUAUAAAAUAUAAUUAAUACCUGUCUCAAUUUAGAAAGAUAAGGUGCAAAUUAGAUGAAGUUCUGCAUAAAACCACACAUUGUGUACAAAAUCUGUUAUUUCUUUAUAAUUUGACCAGAACACAUGGACAGGGUUGACAAGGAGACACAAUAGCUUUAAGAAAAUGAAAAUAUUAUUAAAAUAGUCCAAUGAAAGUAAUUAAAGACAGCGCAAGUCCGUAACAGGUUGGACACACAGUAUCAUAUGGCUGAUUCACUGACAAUGUAAUUAUCUAACUCUUAAGUGCUGGAGCUUGGCCAACAUGUUUUUCUACAUGUCUAAUAUUUCCUUUUUGUAUUAAAACAUUAAAGGAAUACAAAUUCUGAAAUAAAAAUGUUAAAUGUUG